rnacentral:rRNA from 1 species
AUUGAACGCUGGCGGCAGGCUUAACACAUGCAAGUCGAGCGGGGUGAUGGUGCUUGCACUAUCACUUAGCGGCGGACGGGUGAGUAAUGCUUAGGAAUCUGCCUAUCGGUGGGGGACAACAUUUCGAAAGGAAUGCUAAUACCGCAUACGUCCUACGGGAGAAAGCAGGGGAUCUUCGGACCUUGCGCUAAUAGAUGAGCCUAAGUCGGAUUAGCUAGUUGGUGGGGUAAAGGCCUACCAAGGCGACGAUCUGUAGCGGGUCUGAGAGGAUGAUCCGCCACACUGGGACUGAGAAACGGCCCAGACUCCUACGGGAGGCAGCAGUGGGGAAUAUUGGACAAUGGGCGGAAGCCUGAUCCAGCCAUGCCGCGUGUGUGAAGAAGGCCUUAUGGUUGUAAAGCACUUUAAGCGAGGAGGAGGCUACUUUAGUUAAUACCUAGAGAUAGUGGACGUUACUCGCAGAAUAAGCACCGGCUAACUCUGUGCCAGCAGCCGCGGUAACAC